UCUCAAUCAUGUCCAGCAGCAGUUCUGCUAGAAGGACUUUCGUCGGGAGGUCCGGGUUCCCUGCGACCAGCAUCUCCAUCUGCUGCGGUCUGAUUCCUUCAAAGAAGGAGCAGAUCCGUGGACGGAGGGUUUCCAUGGGGAUGAUGUUUCCCCACUUGCUGCCAUAUCAUGGACCCCAGGAACAUGACAAGCUGGGAGAGGAGUUUGUUGACUAUCAAGUCAUGCAGGUGUCUCUUCAAAGCCAAGAAGUCUUUGACAUGGAGCACUUCUGUGCAGAAUUGGCAAGCAGGAAACACAAGGUAACAUGUUUAUACACCAAAAACACAAUGGAAAUACGCUCUGAUUUGCUUAAAUUAAUUGUAUUGAUUUUAGAAUUUGACGGAUUUGAAAUGUUAAACAUAAAAAUCUGCAAGAGCUUAUUCCUUCUGUGUUUCUGGUUUGUUGUUUACAGGUGACAGGACAAUGACAGUUUUAAAGGCUUGCUAAAAUGUAAAAAAGAAAACUACAGUCUGUUCAGCAGAGUUGGUAUUCUGAUUUGUUUGAACAUGAAAAUUAAAAUAGCUAUACUUGACAUGAAAAUACACAUCAGACCAAUCGUGUGUACCUCAUUAUGUCUAAAUUUGUAAUUGUGAAUAAGCUGAAAAUGUAAUUUGUUGUUGGUACAACACAGUUGGAAAAACCCACAGGGUUUCCCAGAAUACACAGCUGGGGCAAGUCCUCAUGCUUUCUUUCCCUUGACCUACAGCUCAGCUACCAUCCCCUGUAGCUUAGCAGGUUAAGUGGAUGACUCAUAAACAAGGGCUAUACGUAGAAGUCAUGGGUUUGAAUCCAGCUCGUGGCCCUUUGCUGCAGGUUCUUCCACCAUUCUUCUCCCCACUGUCUUGCCUCUCAACAAAACCAGAAAAAGGUCAAAAAAGUAACUGAAAAAAAAACUUGGGGUUGCUUAGCUUUUGGUAGUUCUGUGAAUCACACUAUUCAGGUAAUAAACAAGUUUAUAUUGACCAAAUGAAGAAUUAAUAGUAGUGACUAUUCACAGAACAAUGUAAAUGUAACUGGUACAGCAUAUGUACAGUACAUGUUGCAUCCGGACAUGCAUGAUGUGUCUUCAGUUUACUCUAAGAGUUGUGAACAUUCUCAGAUAGAUGUUAAUAUGUUGAAGCAUGCUGCAGUUUAUUAAUCUGACUUGGAGACUGUUCCAAUAUGAGGCAGUUAACAGUUGAGAGAUGUUAAAUAUGAACUCUCCUCAGAGCAGUUGGAUCCAUUAUUGUGGUGAAGAAUUGGUUUCCAGCACUCGGCCUCCCACUGAUGUCCUGAUUGAUUGAAGAACUUUGAAACGUCUUCAUACAGCAGACAUUCAUCCAGGUGUCUCACCUGUGCUGCAGACAGUAUCUAUGUAGUGUGGAGACAGAGCUGCCAGUGUGAGACAUGAGACUUUAAAGAAGCAGAUGAAGACUGCUUGGAUUCUCUGCCUUCUCAUGUUGGCUUCAUGGUGAAUCCCUGCACAAGUGUUCAGCUGCAUCUUUCCUGCUGAGCUGUUUAAAGGAUCACUUUAACCUGAUGGUGUGAAUAUGCAGGAAGGAUGAUGAAAUAACCUCAUAUCAAAGAAAAGCACACAGAAAUACUGAUUUUAUUAUAAACAUGCAUCAAAUACUUGUGUAAUGACUCCACAUAUGUGCUGCCUUUUAGCUAAAUGUUGUUCCAAGUGGCUAAUUUCUGUUUCCUUUCAGUCAGUUUCAUUAAGGAGCCUUGAUCUGAACAUAAAUGCUUUUCUACCAGUUUCAACAGUGAAACAAAUCCAGUAACAAACAUGUCUUUGUAAUGAAUGUGCAGCAGGUUGACUGAGUAACUCAUUUAAAAUCCUGUUUCUGAAGCCAACUUCUUCACUUUAUGUACAGUGUAGUUGUUGUGUUUGUCCAGCAGAUGUCAGCAUAACAGCAGUUAUGAGGAGAGUUUGUUAAAGAUGUGAGUAUUACAGAGCAAACAGUGAGCUGAGCUUUGGACUGAUACAGGGCUGCAGAGAACAACAUCACAGAUAUUCAUGCCAGCUACAGUAGAAAAGUAGAUAAAAGCAGUAAAACUCCUCCCUAUAUGUUGAACUCUUGUUCCAGAUGUCUGUACCUUUAUGUAUGUGUGAAGCUGAAGGAUUAAACAAACCUGACAACCAGCAACAGUCCAGAAUAAUGUUGGUGUUUGUUCCUGAACUACAUUCAACCGGUUCAGCUGAUCAGACGUCUGAUAGUCUGUUAGUGGAUUCAAUCCAAAGUGGCAGAAACUAGUAAAUACGAUAUCAUUUCCUGUUUCCUCGUUUCUGACUGUGACACGACGACACAAACUUAACUGCGUGUGGUCUUUGUUCGUUUCUAUUUUGUUUCAAUUUAAAACCAACUUUUUUCUGGUUUCAAGAUUUAAAAAAAUGACAAAGCAACUCCAUCUAAUGUCUGCUCUUGGAUUGUGCAGAUUUCUUGUUUGAUUUCUCAUUUGGUAUCAGCAGUAGAACUGAGGACAGACAGGCAGCAGAAAUGAAAUGUAAAAAUGUUCAAAUCAAAGCUGAACGAAUGGAACCACACUUUUAUGACUUUCUGCAAACACAGGAUCUGCAGCAGGACUCUGAUCCAGAAAGCAGGUUUCUUGUGAAAACUCUGAGUUUGUUGCUCUGAGAUGAAGGAAAGUCCAAUUACCAUGGUAACAGACUGUGUGAACAUCACCUGGUCGCCAGCAGGUUUUUCCUUCAACAAACUCUGACUGUCUCUCUGACUCCUGCUGAGCCUGAAGGAUCUGUCUUGACUCACCGUUUCUACCUAUCAAUGAAACAUUUCUAUCAGAAGUUCAUACUGACAAGUUUCUAAAUCCAGUCACAUUCAUUUCUCAUUUCUGGCGUUUCUUCACACUCUCCACAGUUGUUGUGUUUCAGAGGCUUAUGUGAACAGAAAGCAGUUUUUAUAAAGGAUGUAGAUGUGGUUAGUGUGAACAUGAAGAAGAAUCACAGCAACAUGUGAACAUUAAAAGUCAGAUCAGACUUUACUGUUCCUGUGGGAAGAAGUUGUCAUGUUUCAGCUCUGCUCUGGCUGUUUCCUCCACAGGUGAAGGUAGAACGUCUCUGGAGCUGAUGUGGAUGUGAGCAGCUGCCACUGCAGCCUCUGACUGGAUAUAAUGGACUUGGACUAAGAGAAACAUGUCAGAUGUUGAAGAGCUUUUCAGUUUUUAGAUGGAGUGUGGAGGUGAAGCAGCUGUCCCAACGCUGGACAGGUUUCCUCCAAUCAGAGCUGAGUGUGUUUGUCAUGUGACUGAGAGGAAGGAAGAGAAUGUGUGACUCUCCCAGCAGAUUGUUGUGUUUGUCUGCUUUGCAUCAGUGUGAGGACAGAGGAGGGAGUCCCUCCAGGCGACUGUUCCUUUCAGCGUAAAACACAACAGUCCUGUUUUUUUUUUUUUUUUUUUUUUUUUAAAUAGAAUAAAAUAGAAUAGAAUAGAAUCAGUGGCGUGCACAGAUAGACACCAGGUGGUGCUAGAGUACCUGCCCCUUGCCCUCAGUAUCAAGCAGGUGCCCUCUGCCUCUCAACUUUAAAAAAAAAAAAAUGUAAACAUUAAACACACACAGAUCUCACAGUUACAUUAAGGCACCCAGUGGUUCUACACGCUGCACAAAGUGCCCUUUUUUCCCACACUGAGCACCUGAUCCCCAAAAUGUCUGUGCACGCCCCUGAUGUUAACCAGCUGUCAAAUCAGUGCUGUUGCCAAACUGCAGCUCUGCACCUCUGAACUACUGAUUUGACAGCUCUACUGUGUAUUUGGCAAUAUUUUCAUGACAAAUAAUCGCUCAGAAGACAAAGUUAAAAGUGAUAGAAAGUCUCAUGUCACCUUCUGUACAGUUAACUGUUUUCCCUGCUCUGUCAAUCACAGACUCCGGCAGCUUGCUCUUCCUGGGGGAGGCCUGAACGGCUGCAGCUCAUCGGUUUUCAGAGCAAAACAGCCAGUACAAAACACGGCUAAAACCAGGGGUUAUACAGUCAUGCAAAAAAAAAGACACUGUGGGGACAUGUGAGACUUCAGUUUGCUGAAAAAGUGCUUAAUAUGGGACCUUGAAGGCGAGCUACUAAUAAAGGCAUGUGAAAAAAUA